UACGGAGGGUGCAAGCGUUAUCCGGAUUCACUGGGUUUAAAGGGAGCGUAGGUGGGUCGGUAAGUCAGUGGUGAAAUCCCCGAGCUUAACUUGGGAACUGCCAUUGAUACUAUCGAUCUUGAAUAUUGUGGAGGUCAGCGGAAUAUGUCAUGUAGCGGUGAAAUGCUUAGAGAUGACAUAGAACACCAAUUGCGAAGGCAGCUGGCUACGCAUAUAUUGACACUGAGGCUCGAAAGCGUGGGGAUCAAACAGG
rnacentral:rRNA from 1 species